UUUGAUUUCUCUCUCUCUCUCUCUCCUUCUCUCUCACGCUGAUAAUUGAGACAAUGAUGGGGCUCUGACGCCCUCUCAAGCCAUGGAGAGAAAAAUGUACGAAAGCCUCAGAAACGGAUUGACAGCUCUGUUUCAGUCUUGCAGUACCUCUUCUCUCCCUCCCCUCUGCUCUGCUAGGUGCUGAUGCAAGCUUAAGCUUCUCUCUGGGAUAUAGAAAAUAUUGUCUAUAAUCUCUUUCUUUCUUGAUCUCUCUGUGCGUGUGCCGCCAUAAGACAAGGAGUGGGGUGAAUAUGUAAGACUGAAUACUCGUGUAUUGGUAGACUCUGGGGAGGGUGGAGAAAAAGGUCCAGUGGGUGAGUUAAAGAAGGGUUUUCUUAGGCAUUGAAUUCGAAAUCCUCAUCACACGCUUCCAAGCACGCGUUUCGGUGUCACUUACGUCAUGCAUCUUCUCUCUGUGUCUGUCUCUCUCUCUCUCUCUCCCUCCCUCCCUUCGCUGUCCCGCUGAUCAGUCGAGUGACCCAAAUUUGCAGAGAGAGGACUGAGAGGCAGAUUGCAUGGUUUAUCGAAGAACCUCAACAAGCCUCUCUCUCUCUCUCUCUCUCUCUCUCUCUCUCUCUAACCGUUGAUAGAUUCAUCUCAUCACUCUUUGCAUGCAAACCUGAGGUCACCCUCCCUCGCCGCACUCUCUCCAAAAACUGUGUGCGGUCACUUCAAAACGAUUAAAGCCCUUCAAAUAUUGGGUUUCGAAAAUAUCAGUCAUGUUGGAGGAGCUAUCGAGGCCGUUCGUUGUUGGGGACGCGCUGAGGGAGGGAUCAAUCGUUGUGUGGGAUUUACUCAGACUUCGAUGCAUAUUGCAGGGGGCGUAUCUAUAUAGCAAGUAUAGGUUGGCAUGACAUGGCAUGCAAUUGUAUUGAUCAGAGACUGGUGCCCGUGCAUGCAUGCCAAUGCCAUCCCCCAUACAAUUUUUUUUUUUAAAUAAAUAAAUAAAUUACACACAUGCACGCUGACAACAUUGAAGAUUGCCAUUUACUGUUGGCAUUCUUGGUUUUGUUGUGUUUUUGUUUUUUUUAGUAGUGAUGAGACGAUGAUGAUAUAAGAAAAAGUUCCCCGAGAGAAUUCUCUUGGAUUCGGGCCCA